rnacentral:rRNA from 1 species
UACGGAGGGUGCAAGCGUUAUCCGGAUUCACUGGGCUUAAAGGGUGCGUAGGCGGGUUGGUAAGUCAGUGGUGAAAUCUCCGAGCUUAACUUGGAAACUGCCAUUGAUACUAUUAGUCUUGAAUAUUGUGGAGGUCAGCGGAAUAUGUCAUGUAGCGGUGAAAUGCUUAGAGAUGACAUAGAACACCAAUUGCGAAGGCAGCUGGCUACACAUAUAUUGACACUGAGGCACGAAAGCGUGGGGAUCAAACAGG